CCUAAACAACCAAAAACCCAAAAUCCGGAUUCAAAGAAACACAAACACAAUCUUAAAAGGUAGGAUACUCCUGUAAACUCUCAACUGGAACGUCAGGAGGGGCCAAUAUUGCAAGUACAAGUCGAAAAUUUCUUCCUCUUCUAUGGGGCUUUGUGGAGUUGUUUGUUUCUUUUAAUUAUGUGGCCGUUUGUUGGACCUGUGAUUGAAAAGCUGGAAACUAAAAACUAUCAAAAUAUACUGAGAAUUGAUCAUUUCUUUCUUUCUUUCUUCUUCUUUUUUUUUUCCCCCUGUUUUGCGAUUUUCAAUACCUUUUUUCCACAGUGGCAUACACAGUUUGACCUAGUUAUUAUUUCCAAAAACUUCAUGAGCUAAGGACAGUGAAGCAGAAGCAAACACCCGACUUGGUAACACCAAGUAGUUGGUUUCAUAGGUAAUUACAAGGAUUUCCCAGUCGUUUUUGGUAAAAUGGUAUUUCCAAGAGGCCGGGUAAAAUGGUAUUGUUAGCUAUUUUGACUAAUCAAAUACAUAAACUGAGUUCUCCAACAGUUUCAAUAGGGGCUAGGUGAAGCCAUUUUUGUUACAGUAACUAGCUAUAAAAGUAUAAAUACUCAGGUACUAUUCACUAGUAAUUGCCUUUAUUUGGCUGCUACCACUUGCAGCCGGUGGAUCAUAUUCACGUGUCACCACCAUUGAAUUGCUGCUAAGAGCCCUUAAAUCACAACCCCUGUAAGAAAUGGCCCAGGCCGUUUUCAUGACUGAAUUUGGCCAAAGAUAUGGCCAAGCCAGUUUUUGGCUCCCAAAAUGGGUCCAUUGGAGAGAGAAUUCAGGUCGGGAAGCCAAAAUAUGGCUUUGGCUCCCAAAA